rnacentral:lncRNA from 1 species
UCCUAAUAUAAUUCCAAAUCUUAAUCAAAUCUUAAAUAAGUCUUAAAUCUUAAUUUAAUUUUAAAUCCUAGAUAAAUUCUAAUAAAAUCUUAAUGAAAUCCUAAUCAAAUCUUAAACCAAUCCUAAUUAAAUCCUAAAUCUUAAUCAAAUCUUAAUCAAAUCAUAAAUCAAAUUUUAAAUCAAAUCCUAAAUCUAGACCAAAUUAUAAUCAAAUCCUAAACUUUAAUCAAAUCUUAAAUUCAAGACCAAUCUUGAUAAAAUUCUAACCAAAUCCUAGUCAAAUCUUAAAUCAAUCUUAAUCAAAUCUUAAUCAAAUCCUAAAUCAAUUCUAAUAAAAUCCUAAGUCUUAACCAAAUCCUAAACAACCUCAAGAAUAUCUAAAAUA